CUGCAGGGAUGACCUCUUAGGACACCUUUGGAUUCUCCAUGAAAACAACCUGUGAUCUGAGCAGC
rnacentral:snoRNA from 1 species